rnacentral:rRNA from 1 species
GAUGAACGCUGGCGGCGUGCCUAAUACAUGCAAGUCGAGCGAAUGGAUUAAGAGCUUGCUCUAUGAAGUUAGCGGCGGACGGGUGAGUAACACGUGGGUAACCUGCCCAUAAGACUGGGAUAACUCCGGGAAACCGGGGCUAAUACCGGAUAACAUUUUGAACCGCAUGGUUCGAAAUUGAAAGGCGGCUUCGGCUGUCACUUAUGGAUGGAACCGCGUCGCAUUAGCUAGUUGGUGAGGUAACGGCUCACCAAGGCAACGAUGCGUAGCCGACCUGAGAGGGUGCUCGGCCACACUGGGACUGAGACACGGCCAGACUCCUACGGGAGGCAGCAGUAGGGAAUCUUCCGCAAUGGACGAAAGUCUGACGGAGCAACGCCGCGUGAGUGAGGAAGGCUUUCGGGUCGUAAAACUCUGUUGUUAGGGAAGAACAAGUGCUAGUUGAAUAAGCUGACACCUUGACGGUACCUAACCAGAAAGCCACGGCUAACUACGUGCCAGCCGCCGCCGUAA